UACGUAGGGAGCAAGCGUUGUCCGGAAUCAUUGGGCGUAAAGCGCGCGUAGGCGGCCCUGUAAGUCCGCUGUGAAAGUCAAAGGCUCAACCUUUGAAAGCCGGUGGAUACUGCAGGGCUAGAGUCCGGAAGAGGCGAGUGGAAUUCCUGGUGUAGCGGUGGAAUGCGCAGAUAUCAGGAGGAACACCGGUGGCGAAGGCGGCUUUCUGGACAGAAACUGACGCUGAUGCGCGAAAGCUAGGGGAGCAAACAGG
rnacentral:rRNA from 1 species